AUUGAACGCUGGCGGCGUGCCUAAUACAUGCAAGUCGAGCGAAGCGGGGACGGGUGAGUAACACGUGGAUAACCUCCUAUAAGACUGGGAUAACUUCGGGAAACCGGAGCUAAACCGGAUGCUUAUAGAUGGAUCCGCGCUGCAUUAGCUAGUUGGGAAGGUAACGGCUUACAAAGGCCACGAUGCAUAGCCGACCUGAGAGGGUGAUCGGCCACACUGGAACUGAUACACGGUCCAGACUCCUACGGGAGGCAGCAGUAGUGAAGCUUCCGCAAUGUGCGAAAGCCUGACGGAGCAACGCCGCGGGAGGGAUGAAGGUCUUCGGAUCGUAAAACUCUGUUAUUAGGAAUGCGGUACCUAAUCAGAAAGCCACGGCUAACUACGUGACAGCAGCCGCGGUAAUUC
rnacentral:rRNA from 1 species